ACAGCCUGGGCUUACGAACAAAUUUCAAGAAGAGUGUUUUAACUCCCUCUCAACGGAUAACUUUUCUGGGAAUAGAUCUGGACUCUCGCGCGCUCAGUUGAUUGCGUCAUGUGUGCGGCACUUCAAAGCGGGUCGCACGGUGACAGUGAGAUUGUGCCUCAGGCUCUUGGGUCUAAUGGCAGCAGCAUCCCCCGUGAUUCGUCUGGGAUUGCUUCAAAUGCGCCCUUUUCAGUGGUGGACGAAAAGGCGGAAUAUUUCACCCCGUUGUCUCCCGCAUCGCACGAUUUCGGUGACACGGCGGUGUGUGAUGUCGCUAAAAAUUUGGAUGUCAACCGAAUUUCUCCUGUCAGGAGUUCGACUGGGAAUUUAUGCUUUCCGAGAGACUGUCACGACGGACGCGUCUUUGACUGGUUGGGGAGCUGUGUGUCGAGGGCGACCAGCCCACGGAGUGUGGACAGCGGCUCAGCGCGGCUGGCAUUUAAACAGACUGGAAUUACUGGCAGUUUUUCUGGCUCUCCAGUAUUUCGCGGAUCUGCUGAUCGGCCGUCAUGUGCUGCUCAGAUCAGACAACACAGCGGUUGUGUCUUAUCUGAACCAUCAAGGAGGAUUGCGCUCUCGCCCCCUGUGCAGGCUGGCGAGGCGUGUUCUUCUGUGGUCUCGGGACAAGUUUCUUUUGAUCCGGGCCAUUCAUGUCCCCGGACGAUUGAAUUUCGGAGCGGACCUGCUAUCCAGACAGGCUCUGGAACAGGGAGAAUGGCGAUUACACCCCCAGACGGUGGAUCUUUUAUGGCGGAUAUUCGGCAAAGCGAAAGUGGAUUUAUUCGCGUCGAGCAUGACUACGCAUUGCCCGCUAUGGUUCUCCCUACGCUCCCCAUCGCCCCUGGGCGUGGAUGCGUUAGCUCACAGCUGGCCCAGGACCAGUCUGUAUGCUUUUCCUCCGAUUCAUUUGAUCCCAGCGGUAUUAUGCAGAUUACGCCGGGACAGAGUGGAACAGCUGCUGCUGGUGGCUCCGCGAUGGCACACGCAGCCGUGGUUUGCGGAUCUGAUCAGUCUGCUAGCGGGCUCUCCGUGGGAGAUUCCCCUCAGACAGGAUUUAUUAUCACAAGCACAGGGGCUGAUUUGGCACCCGAGGCCAGAUCUGUGGAAACUGUGGGCGUGGCCAUUGAGCGGAGUGCAUUAGUAUGUCCCGGUCUUUCUGUUGAAACUACUGAGACUAUAUUGAGUUCUAGAGCAGCUUCUACGAGACGCUUAUAUGCUUUCAAGUGGAGACUGUUUACAGCCUGGUGUGGCAAUCAUAAUGUGGAUCCAGUUUACUGCCCAGUGGCUUCAGUGCUGGAGUUCCUCCAGGAGCGUUUCUCGGAUGGCGUUACACCAGCCACUUUAAAGGUUUACGUGGCAGCCAUUUCAGCUUACCACGAAUACAUAGGCGGUGCCUCUGUGGGGCGUCAUCCAUUAGUUUCUCGUUUCAUACAGGUUGCGCGACGGCUGAGGCCUUUCCGCCCUGUGCGAGUUCCUUCAUGGGAUUUAUCCAUUGUGUUGUUAGGUUUAUCAGGGCAUCCGUUUGAGCCCUUGGAGACCGUAUCAGAUAAAUUCCUGACACUGAAGACACUUCUUCUCAUGGCUUUAUCCUCCCUCAAGAGAGUUGGGGAUUUACAGGCUCUUUCUGUUUCACCUUCAUGCAUGGAAU
ensembl:lncRNA